rnacentral:rRNA from 1 species
AUUGAACGCUGGCGGCAGGCUUAACACAUGCAAGUCGAGCGAGCGGCGGACGGGUGAGUAAUGUCUGGGAAACUGCCUGAUGGAGGGGGAUAACUACUGGAAACGGUAGCUAAUACCGCAUACCAUCAGAUGUGCCCAUAUGGGGUUAGCUAGUAGGGGGGGGAAUGGUGCACCUGGGCGGCGAUGCCUAGUGGGUGUGAGAGGAGGACCAGGCACACUGGAACUGAGGCACGGUCCAUACGCCUACGAGAGGCAGCAGUGGGGAAUAUUGCACAAUGGGCGCAAGCCUGAUGCAGCCAUGGCGCGUGUGUGAAGAAGGCCUUCGGGUUGUAAAGCACUUUCAGCGAGGAGGCGUUACUCGCAGAAGAAGCGCCGGCUAACUCCGUGCCAGCAGCCGCGGUAAUAC